rnacentral:rRNA from 1 species
GACGAACGCUGGCGGCGCGCUUAACACAUGCAAGUCGAGCGAAGCGGCGGACGGGUGAGUAACACGUGAGUAACCUGCCUUAGACAUUGGGAUAGCCUCGGGAAACCGGGAUUAAUACCAAAUGGUCUAAGAUGGACUCGGGUCCCCUUAGCUAGUUGGUGGGGUAACGGCCCACCAAGGGGGUGGUGGGUAGCCGGCCUGAGAGGGUGAACGGCCACAUUGGAACUGAGAAACGGUCCAAACUCUACGGGAGGCAGCAGUGGGGAAUAUUGCACAAUGGAGGGAACUCUGAUGCAGCGACGCCGGGUGAACGAAGAAGGCUUUCGAGUCGUAAAGUUCUUUUAUAUGGGAAGCGGUACCAGAAGAAGAAGCACCGGCUAACUCCGUGCCAGCAGCCGCGGUAAUUC